AUUGAACGCUGGCGGCAUGCCUAACACAUGCAAGUCGAACGAGUGGCGGACGGGUGAGCAAUGUCUGGGAAACUGCCCGAUGGAGGGAAAUAACUGCUGGAAACGGUAGCUAAUAUCGCAUACCACCGUUUGUGCUCCGAUGGGAUUAGCUAGCAGGUGGGGUAACGGCUCACCUAGGCGACGAUCCCUAGCUGGUCCGAGAGGAUGACCAGCCACACUGGAACUGAGACACGGUCCAGACUCCUACGGGAGGCAGCAGUGGGGAAUAUUGCACAAUGGGCGCAAGCCUGAUGCAGCCAUGCCGCGUGUAUGAAGAAGGCCUUCGGGUUGUAAAGUACUUUCAGCGGGGAGGCGUUACCCGCAGAAGAAGCACCGGCUAACUCCGUGCCAGCAGCCGCGGUAAUUC
rnacentral:rRNA from 1 species